rnacentral:rRNA from 1 species
AACGAACGUUAGCGGCGCGCUUAACACAUGCAAGUCGUGCGAGAAAGGGAGCAAUCCCCGGUAAAGCGGCGCACGGGUGAGUAACACGUAGGUAACGUGCCCCCAGGUGGUGGAUAACCUUCCGAAAGGAGGGCUAAUACAGCAUAAGACCACGGCUUCGAAAGGAGCUGAGGUCAAAGUCGGCCUCUAUUCAUAAGCUGACGCCAGGGGAUCGGCCUGCGGCCCAUCAGGUAGUUGGUAGGGUAAUGGCCUACCAAGCCUAAGACGGGUAGCUGGUCUGAGAGGAUGAUCAGCCACACUGGAACUGAGACACGGUCCAGACUCCUACGGGAGGCAGCAGUGGGGAAUUUUGGACAAUGGGCGCAAGCCUGAUCCAGCCAUGCCGCGUGCGGGACGAAGGCCUUCGGGUUGUAAACCGCUUCUAGCCGGAAGAAAUACGC